UCCCUGGUGGCUCAGUGGUAGAGAAUCUGCCCGCCAAUGCAGGAGGCACAGGUUCGAUCCCUGAUCCUGGAA
rnacentral:tRNA from 1 species